AAGAGUUGGAAGGGACCCCAAGGGUCAUUUAGUGCACCCCUGAAAAUAACAGCCGUAAAACCUGCAUUCCCCCCUUACUCAAUUUAACAGCAUUCCAUCUCAUGAUUCACGCUAUCACUAAAGAAAAAAUUAUAGAUAAGCUGUCUCUUCUGGGCUUGAGUGUUACAUUAUUUUCAGCUCUCCAGCCCCAGCCCCAGCCCCAUAUUUAAUGCACUGUUGUGUGGGUGAUGUAGCCAGGUGAACCAACAUCGGGUCCCACUGAAUUCAAUGAUAUCUGGGACACUCUCUGUGUUAUACCUAGGGUUUGCCCACAUGCCUAGAAAGCAGGGACCCAAGAGGUUUUCCACUUGCCUCGUACAUUCUAGGCACAGGUCUGAGCGGUUUUGCAUUUGCCCUAUGGAUUAUCCCCCCCCCCCAAGAAAACGUGAUGUUUACCGCUAAAUUGGAAGAAAUGGCAAUCUGUGGAGCCUCGAUAAGGAAGCUGCUGUUUCCAGAGGAAGCGCUGCGAGGGGAGAGAGACUUUGUGCUGUUCAUCAGGCAAUGGCUUUUCCCACCUGCCUUGCUCCCCCCACCAGCCCUAGGGGCUUUUCCUACACCAUGACUUUAGGAACAGCGGAAGCAGCUGGGAAGAGAGAAGAGGAGGUCAGGGGUAUUUUAAAAAAAUAAUUUUAUAAGUUGUGUGUCUCUGCUUCUCAAUUUGCACCACUGUAUUUUAUGCACUGUUGACUUGCUGUUAUUUUUAUGGAUUCUAGUUUCAGAAAUUAUUUAUUGUAAUUGUUAAGAGUGAAUUUCUGUUUAAUGUUUGCUGAUAUUUAAUUUUAUUGUGUGCUAUUAUAAUCUAAUGGAUUAUUUAAUAUUACGUUUUUUUAGAUAUAAGUUGUUUAUUUUAAAGGUUUUUUUUAUUAUGGCAUUUUUGUAUUGGAUCAGAUUGUGUGGUGUGUGAGUUCUUUGUUGUUUCUUCAGCUUUACACAACCGCCUUGUGUACAGUAAUAUAGAAAGACGGUACAGUGGUACCUCGGGUUAAGAACUUAAUUCAUUCUACAGGUCCAUUUUUAACCUGAAACUGUUCUUAACCUGAGGUACCACUUUAGCUAAUGGGGCCUCCCGCUGCUGCUGCGCAAUUUCUAUUCUCAUCCUGAAGCAAAAUUCUUAACCCAAGGUACUAUUUCUGGGUUAGCGGAGUCUGUAACCUGAAGCGUCUGUAACCUAAGGUACCACUGUAUACGAAUUAAAAGUGAAAUGAAAUGAAA